CCCCUGGCCCCUCCCCCCAGGUGAACACAAGGGGAAGGGGCCCUCUGUGGACACCAAGCCGCUGAGACUCCAUCCCAGAAGUCCCGCUCCCGCCACAGCUACAAGAGGUACAGGUCCUGCAGGCCAGCUUCCCGGCUGAGCCCCGUGGCGCGUGUGGUCCCCUAGCCAUGGGCAGAGAUGCAGGUCUGGGUGUGAGUACACCAAGCGUGCGUCCCUGGGUGUCUCGGUGCCUUCAGGUUUCUACGUUGAGUCGUCAUUGACUGUGUGGUCUGUACUGUUGACUCGGUCUUCUUCGCUGCACUUGUCGGCGUUUCUGAAGUUCUUGGAGCUGUUGAGCUGUGGUCCGGUGCCUCCCGUCACUGAUGAUGUGACGGCGUUUGUCCAGUCCGUUGGUUUUGGGUAUUAACUGUUGGCACUGGACCACAGCUCAGCAGGCCUCCUUCCCCAGAGUCUGAUUUGAAGGAAUACCAUUUAAUUCCCAACUAACGAGCAGAAAGCGGCUUGUCUGCCCUCCAUCACCCUCCUUCAUCCUUCCGGCCUGUGACGGCUGAAGA